rnacentral:rRNA from 1 species
CAGUAGCCGCGGGAAUACGGAGGGUGCAAGCGUUAAUCGGAAUUACUGGGCGUAAAGCGCACGCAGGCGGUCUGACAAGUCAGAUGUGAAAUCCCCGGGCUUAACCUGGGAACUGCAUUUGAAACUGUCAGGCUGGAGUCUUGUAGAGGGGGGUAGAAUUCCAGGUGUAGCGGUGAAAUGCGUAGAGAUCUGGAGGAAUACCGAUGGCGAAGGCAGCCAUCUGGCCUAACACUGACGCUGAGGUACGAAAGCAUGGGGAGCAAACAGGAUUAGAUACCCGCGUAGUCCCUGUCUCUUAUAC